GCUGGGUGUGGUGGCUCACACCUGUAAUCCCAGCAGCUCCGGAGGCUGAGGCAAGAAGAUCUCGAGUUCCAAGCAGCCUCAGCCAAAGGGAGGUGCUAAGCAACUCAGUGAGACCCUGUCUCUA
rnacentral:sRNA from 1 species